AUGAUGUUACCUCCUUCUUAUUUAGACUAUAACGCUAUGGUCCAACAUCAUUUUCUUAGUACAAAUGAACAAUUCCUCCAGUGUCGACUAAUCUUUGACAGGCGCAACCCUGUCCAUGUUACUCUUCCUGCUCCUCUCCUUUUUGAUUACCAGGCAAAAGGAAGAUAUGUUGUUACCAGGGAGGAAGCAGCUGAACACGAUAGGAGAGCCGAGGCGGCUCGUCAGCAUGCCGCAGCUCAGGAGGCAUUCUCUGCUGCAUCUCAGUACGACCCCAGUUACAACUACGGAUAUCAGCCAGGCUACCCUUGCAUUAGACCAACUUAG
rnacentral:rRNA from 1 species